ACAAGCCAAAUUAAGGUGAAACCGCGAAAGGCUCAUUAAAUCAGUUAUGGUUCCUUAGAUCGUACCCACAUUUACUUGGAUAACUGUGGUAAUUCUAGAGCUAAUACAUGCAAACAGAGCUCCGACCGGAGACGGAAGGGAGUGCUUUUAUUAGAUCAAAACCAAUCGGUGGCGGGCUUGCUCGUCAUCGUACAUUUUGGUGACUCUGAAUAACUUUUUGCUGAUCGCACGGUCUCGCACCGGCGACGCAUCUUUCAAAUGUCUGCCUUAUCAACUGUCGAUGGUAGGUUCUGCGCCUACCAUGGUUGUAACGGGUAACGGGGAAUCAGGGUUCGAUUCCGGAGAGGGAGCCUGAGAAACGGCUACCACAUCCAAGGAAGGCAGCAGGCGCGCAAAUUACCCACUCCCGGCACGGGGAGGUAGUGACGAAAAAUAACGAUACGGGACUCAUCCGAGGCCCCGUAAUCGGAAUGAGUACACUCUAAACCCUUUAACGAGGAUCAAUUGGAGGGCAAGUCUGGUGCCAGCAGCCGCGGUAAUUCCAGCUCCAAUAGCGUAUAUUAAAGUUGUUGCGGUUAAAAAGCUCGUAGUCGAAUCUGUGUCCCGCGACGUCGGUUCAUCGCUCGCGGUGCCAACUGACGUGCCGCGGGACGUCCUGCCGGUGGGUUUAGCCUUUCGGGGCGGCCCAACUUAUAUUCCCACCGCGGUGCUCUUGACUGAGUUGUCGAGGUGGGCCGGCACGUUUACUUUGAACAAAUUAGAGUGCUUAAAGCAGGCUAAAAUUUCGCCUGAAUACUGUGUGCAUGGAAUAAUGGAAUAGGACCUCGGUUCUAUUUUGUUGGUUUUCGGAACU
rnacentral:rRNA from 1 species